UACGUAGGGUGCGAGCGUUAAUCGGAAUUACUGGGCGUAAAGCGUGCGCAGGCGGUUUUGUAAGCCAGAUGUGAAAUCCCCGGGCUUAACCUGGGAAUGGCAUUUGGGACUGCAAGGCUGGAGUGUGGCAGAGGAGACUGGAAUUCCCGGUGUAGCAGUGAAAUGCGCAGAUAUCGGGAGGAACACCAGUAGCGAAGGCGGCACUCUGGGCCGGUACUGACGCUGAGGAGCGAAAGCGUGGGGAGCGAACAGG
rnacentral:rRNA from 1 species